rnacentral:rRNA from 1 species
CCUACGGGAGGCAGCAGUGGGGAAUAUUGGGCAAUGGGCGCAAGCCUGACCCAGCAACGCCGCGUGAAGGAAGAAGGCUUUCGGGUUGUAAACUUCUUUUGUCAGGGACGAAGCAAGUGACGGUACCUGACGAAUAAGCCACGGCUAACUACGUGCCAGCAGCCGCGGUAAUACGUAGGUGGAAAGCGUUAUCCGGAUUUACUGGGGGUAAAGGGCGUGUAGGCGGGACUUGAAGUCAGAUGUGAAAACCACGGGCUCAACCUUGGGCCUGCAUUUGAAACUGUAGUGCUUGAGUACUGGAGAGGUAGACGGAAUUCCUAGUGUAGCGGUGAAAUGCGUAGAUAUUAGGAGGAACACCAGUGGCGAAGGCGGUCUGCUGGACAGCAACUGACGCUGAGGCGCGAAAGCGUGGGGAGCAAACAGGAUUAGAUACCCUAGUAGUC